UGUGUGUCGAUCUGAAGCUAUCCUCUAUUGCAUCUAGAGGCUUGUACAAGCCAUAGAUCAAAUCCGACAAGAGAAGAAAUAUGUGUGUCUGAGGAACCAAGACGCCAAAGGUUCAGAGCGGCAUUGUGCUGAAAAAGCCAGGACAAUGUAAGAGGCUUGCACACAAGGAUCUAGGUUUCUCUACGAGCAGCAGAAUCAAUAUCCGAUAGAAUAUAACAAUUACGGACGAGGAGCCGCAACCGUAGCUUGUUGAGAUGUUGCAUAGCUUUCAGAGAACUAGGAAAGUAAUGGUGGACUCUCAUGAAGCACAAAGACAGAUAAUGUUUGAGGCAAAUUCCUUCACCGGCCCUGCGUAUGAGAAAUUCUGCAAUGAUGCCCAACGGCAUGCUACUCUCAAGCUGGAGGUCGAGCUUAGGAACUGGAGGUCCUGCUUCGUGAGCUACGUCAGUGCUGAGAAGGCGUACAUCGAAUCCCUUGAUGGUUGGUUGUCCAAGUUCAUGCUCACAGACACCAUCCGUUAAUCCCGGGGAUCUCCUUGAUCGCGCUCGACAGGACCAGCGAGUAGCACACUACGCUGUCGACAACCGGAUCCUCCUCACAACUGACUCCGGCAUGGGCUUGCUCGCGCUCGACAGGACCAGCGAGUAGCACACUACGCUGUUGACAACCGGAUCCUCCUCACAACUGACUCCGGCAUGGUACCCAUUCCAACCCAAGAAGACGACUCAAGGGAGGACUGAUCUAUAUGUAGGCAGAUGGAUGAAUUCCAAGCCAUGAGAUAAAGUACCCUAAACCGAACUUACUAUUUAUUUGCAGUUUGCGAGUACACUUGUACUUCCCUGAUUUCUGCCCCAAAUAGCAUGCUUCCAAAUCCAUGUGUAGUUCCCUGCCUGCUAUGUUUCCAAUCAGAUAAUUUUGGCCACCAAAAUUUCUGGUUAUUUAGAUCGCA